UACGUAGGGGGCUAGCGUUGUCCGGAUUUAUUGGGCGUAAAGAGCGUGUAGGCGGCCAUGUAGGUCCGGUGUGAAAACUCGAGGCUUAACCUCGAGAUGUCAUCGGAAACCAUUUGGCUAGAGUCCGGAAGAGGAGAGUGGAAUUCCCGGUGUAGCGGUGAAAUGCGCAGAUAUCGGGAAGAAUAUCCGUGGCGAAGGCGGCUCUCUGGUACGGCACUGACGCUGAGACGCGAAAGCGUGGGGAGCGAACAGG
rnacentral:rRNA from 1 species